rnacentral:rRNA from 1 species
GACGAACGCUGGCGGCGUGCUUAACACAUGCAAGUCGAACGGAUAAGCCUCAUUCGGGUGGUACUCUAGUAGCGAACGGGUGAGUAAGACGGGAGUAACCGGCCCCUAACUACCUGAUAACUUGAGGAAACCUGGGCUAAUACCGGAUAGGCGCUCCUACGGCACGGUUUGGGAUGGAGAGUGUCGGCGGUGGGGGAACGACUCGCGGCAUAGCAGCUCGUUGGUGUGGUAGUGGCUUACGAAGGCGUUGACGGGUAGCCGACCUGCGUGGGUGACCGGCGAUAUUGGCACUGAGAUUCCGCGCGGACUCCUACGGGAGGCAGCGGUGGGGAGUAUUGCACUAUCGGUGGAAGCCUGAGGCAGCAACGCCGGGCGCGGGAUGGCGGACCUCGGGUUGUAAACAGCUUUCGCUAAUGACGAAGCUUUGUGUGACGGUAGUGGGUAAAGAAGCCCCGGCUAACUACGUG